rnacentral:rRNA from 1 species
UUCCGUAGGUGAACCUGCGGAGGGAUCAUUAUCGAGUUUACAACUCCCAAACCCCUGUGAACAUACCUUAACGUUGCUUCGGCGGACAACCCUCGCCCAAACCGCGAGGGCCCGCCAGAGGACCCCAAACCCAACUUUAUGUUUUUUUGUCUUGCAAAACGAACUUCUGAGUGGAUUUUAUAAAUCAAAUCAAAACUUUCAACAACGGAUCUCUUGGCUCUGGCAUCGAUGAAGAACGCAGCGAAAUGCGAUAAGUAAUGUGAAUUGCAGAAUUCAGUGAAUCAUCGAAUCUUUGAACGCACAUUGCGCCCGCCAGUAUUCUGGCGGGCAUGCCUGUUCGAGCGUCAUUAACACCCCUCAAGCCCCCGGGCUUGGUGUUGGGGAUCGGGAACAGCGGAUCGGCCCCCCGGGGCCGCGACGCCCCCGUCCCCCAAAUGCAUCGGCGGUCACGCCGCGGCCUCUUGCGCGUAGUAGCUAACACCUCGCACCGGAGCCCGUCGUGGUCCACGCCGCUAAACCCCCGACCUUUUUACAAGUUGACCUCGAAUCAGGUAGA